rnacentral:rRNA from 1 species
AGUGAACGCUGGCGGUAGGCCUAACACAUGCAAGUCGAACGGCAGCACAGUAAGAGCUUGCUCUUACGGGUGGCGAGUGGCGGACGGGUGAGGAAUACAUCGGAAUCUACUUUUUCGUGGGGGAUAACGUAGGGAAACUUACGCUAAUACCGCAUACGACCUACGGGUGAAAGCAGGGGAUCUUCGGACCUUGCGCGAUUGAAUGAGCCGAUGUCGGAUUAGCUAGUUGGCGGGGUAAAGGCCCACCAAGGCGACGAUCCGUAGCUGGUCUGAGAGGAUGAUCAGCCACACUGGAACUGAGACACGGUCCAGACUCCUACGGGAGGCAGCAGUGGGGAAUAUUGGACAAUGGGCGCAAGCCUGAUCCAGCCAUACCGCGUGGGUGAAGAAGGCCUUCGGGUUGUAAAGCCCUUGUUGGGAAAGAAAAGCAGCAGGUUAAUACCCCGCUGUUCUGACGGUACCCAAAGAAUAAGCACCGGCUAACUUCGUG